ACUACAUUAUAAUGCCUUCCUGCUUCACACGCUUUACUGUUCAAAUAUCUCCUUUUGUUGUAAAUGUCCAUUUUACUGAGGAAAUUCUUUUCCUCUCAUCCGUCCGUAUCAAAGCGCAUCAGGGCAGCAACGUCUGUGUGUCUGUAGAGUGUGUUUGUGGGUUUGGGAAAGCCUUUUGGCACAUGUGUGUCACUCCCUUUCUACAUGUGUAUCAUAGGAGACAGCUGGGAUGAAAGUGGAGUGUCUGCAAUCAAUGAGCCACCAAAGCCAAGACCUGAAGGUCAGACGCAUCUGGCGCACUGAGACAGUAGAGCUUAGUAAGCAAAGGCCCGUUAGCACGAUGUCAACUGUCUGUUAAUUAUUGAGGUUUAGUAAUUAGGCCAAUUCUGUCAGUUUAAAAUGAUAAAAAAGAUUAAACUCCGCUCAGACUAUUAACUCUGAAAUACAAUUUAAUAGGUUAUUGUUGGUUUUUAUGCUUCAAAUUUGUUUUAAGCCUUUAUAACAAUGCAUGUUUUUGUGUGACGAUUCCUGGCGGUGGAGAUACGAAAGCCAACCCACACUUCUAUGAACUGGGAUGAGGGGGCCUUCCAGCUCUCUCACACCUGGAGCAACAUCCUCCGGCAAAAAACUCACUGUAAACCCGAAUAGUCCAAUGAGCUCAAAAGUUUUAUAAUCACUGAACUCAAAAGUAACAAACAAGUUGAGUCAGCUUAAAACCUAAAAGCCGAUUCAACUUUUGCCACAGUUAUAUCUUUAUUGGACUGAAACAUUUUGAGUAAAUGAAACCUUGGAGUCAAAACUUAUGAGUAAUGAGACGUGAUGACGUCAUAACGUACGCCCAUGAACGUGAACUCAGCCACAGAAGUCUUCAAGAUGGCGGAGGUCUGAUGCGAGUGUCAACUGGCCCAAGUUGAUAACGCACAUACGUCUAGUGAACCGGCGGUGCGUUUGAAAAAUAAGAGCGGAGAUGUGAGCUGAGUUUCAUCGCAUCACAAAUGUCAACCUGCGAAAACAGUUUUAUUUUGACCUGGACAGACAGAUGCCGAGGAUGCUGAUCUUGUUGAGACAGAAGGCAGCACGAACCGGAAGGCUCUAUGCGACAUUCUGCACCUCUAUGAUAAACAGGUGAGGUAUAACUGCAUGGCAUGAUCAACAUUAUGCAUUAGUAUAGCUAAAAGAAGGGGCUGACUUGGAUCGGUUCAUAUUAAUCACUGAGCGUUUCUAAUUCAGUGAAUGACUGUAAAUGUUUGCUUCACUGGAGAAAAAAACAUCGUUGAUCCCAAUGCAUUUGUAAAUAUGAAUUUAAUGUCAUCUUAUGUUUGGUGUAUUUUUGAAAUAACUGUACAAUUUUAAGAUAAUUAAAAAGACUAAAUGAACUGAUCUGAGCCAGACCAAAGGGUGCAGUCAUUUGAAAUAUGUUUGCCAUAUUAAUUUGUAUUUGUCUCUGUUCAGCAAGAACAGACUGCUAAUGUCAAAGGUGCUCCUGUCCUGUACUGGCUUCCCAUAUACAAACGUGAGGAGGACCCACAGUUCUUCAAAGUUUGGAAUAUUAAAGAGUCACCAGAGGCAGACAUCAGCAGCACCUCUCAUGGCAUUCUGACCGUCAGCAACAACAAUACAAGUUCAGUGCAUUUCUGUCCGCUCAGUACAGCAGUUGUGGUGGAAGAUGAGCUUGUGGUAGGCAAAUUUCCUAAAUGGGUAUUUUUUUGAGCGCUAAUGUUUGUAGGGAAAGGGCAGCCUAAGAAAAUACAGUUUUAUGUGGGAAAAGUGUAAAAAAAAAGGCUGAUAAACAAUUUUUGCUUUUCUUGAAAUGUAAGAAUGCUCUUUUUUAUAAAGUUGUAUAAGGAAAUGGUGUAAAAAAGAUUAGUGCUCAUUUUUUGCUUUUCUUGAAGACUGAUUUUUUUUUUUUUUUUUUUAUGGCUUGUGCACUUUUUCUUAACACAAAUUGUGCAGUGUUUUACAUUUUCUAGUACCACAAGUUGUUCAAAUGUACUUGUGUAAGGUGGUUUAAAAAUAAACUUGCAAUUACAA